CAGCUGGAUAUAGCGGAUGACAUUGGUGUCUGGAAAACAAAGACAGGAAAAGGCUUGAUUUAUUUCCUGCUCAGAAAGGAAAUGGUCUCCUCUAGCUCCUCUGUAGGUCUUUUUCACAGAAGACAACACACCUGCACCUGAGCCCUUUACCUGCCUCACCGAGCCCAAACUUGCUCCGGGGACGCCAACACUGCACCCUCAGAGCACUGGGUACCUUGGCUCUUGAAGUCCAGCGCCCGCCUCACGACGUCGGCUGGCUCGUUGUGGGAUGGUUGUUUCCACAUCGACCC